GCGCCCGUAGCUCAAUUGGAUAGAGCGCAGGCCUCCGGAGCCUGAGGUUUUGGGUUCGAUUCCCAACGGGCGUA
rnacentral:tRNA from 1 species